CCUCGUCAGCAAAAUAUGUACACGUGUCAGUCACGUUAAUCGAGGUAGCAUGUCUGUUAACGGGAGGGCAAAGGUGACCUAAAAUUUGUAACGUUAAGGGUACUUUUGGGAAAAAAAAUUAGUUUAAAGUGUAAGUGGGAUAUCGGAUAAACGUCGGAGCAUUUUUGGACCUUUGCCCUUUUUUUAAGUGCACUCAAAAAAAAUAUAAACAAAUUUUAAUAUUACCAAAAUAUUCUUCCAAUAUUGCCUCUUUUC
rnacentral:lncRNA from 1 species